GCUUUACUUGGUUGCUUAGUUGCAGAAGAUUUUGUCUUUUUUUUUUUUUUUUUUUUUUUUUUUUUGACAGGCAGAGUGGACAGUGAGACAGAGAGAGACAGAGAGAAAGGUCUUCCUUUGACGUUGGUUCACCCUCCCAUGGCCGCCGCGGCCAGUGUGCCGCGGCCGGCGCACCGUGCAGAUCCGAUAGCAGGAGCCAGGAAUUGCGUUAUGUGCAGCAAGAGUCAGACUGUCUUGGGAGGAGGAAACUGGACAGUCUCCGGAAGCAGGGGGGAAUCUCCCAUCAAGCAUUGCCAAGGCAGGUUUGCCCUGUCCAUGGGCCCAGGAAGGAAUAGUGCAAUAAGGCAGCUUACCUGGAUCGUGGACACCUGGGCGGCCUACAAGGACUCACCCGCCCUGCGACAUGCUCCUGAGGCUGACUCCAAGGACACCCAGAAUUGUGCAACCCAGCCGGGGACGGGAGACCCGUGGGGAGACCUGGCGGAAGUUGGAUGCACCUGCUGCUGUCUGGGGGAAGGAGCAUCAAUCAGUAUGUAAAUCGUGUAAGUGAGGAUCCAAUCAGCGUGCCACGAAGUGAAAACGGCAUUUGAUUGGCUGGGACAUUUUAAGCCUAUGCUGCCCAUAAACAGUCUGGCUUGCCCAGCAACCACGUUUAACUUCACCUGAUUUCAUUUCCUUGAAGUGUUGAGGUUCAUUUUGCAAUGUUUUAGAGAGAGCCCUGGGCUGGGGCCGGGAGCCUGGGGAAUUGAGUGCCAUUUCUGCGACCGGUUGAGUGUCGGGAGUGAGGGGAAACUCACUUGAUAAUAGGCUGAGAAGUGGAAAGCGCAGCGGUCCAGGCUUCUCCCAGCACUGUGGCCUGCACGCCUGCCACGUUCUAUCCUGGGUGUUGGAGGUACCAGCUUCCUUCCCUACUCCUGGAAGGGAGGUACCAGGAUGUCAGCGCAGAGAGACAGGUCUCCCUGUGUCCUCUUGAGGGGGCCUGUUGUGGCCACUGGUUUUCCUCCUGGUACCCCUGUUGGCUUCUUCUUUUUUUUAAGUAUUUCUUUAUCUGAAAGGCAGAGUUACAGAGAGGGAGAGGCAGAACAGAGAGAGAGUAGUCUUCCAUCCAUUGGUUCACUCCUCAAAUGACCACAACAAACGGCUGUGCCAGGCUGAAGCCAGGAACGUCUUCCGGGUCUCCCACGUGGGUACAGGAACCCAAGGACUUGAACCAUUUUCCACUGCUUUCCCAGGCCAUAGCAGAGAGCUGGAUCGGAAGUGGAACAGCCAGGACUGGAACCGGUGCCCAUAUGGGAUGCUGGCACGGCAGGCAGAGGCUUAGCCUACUACGGCCACAGCACCAGCCCCUGGCUUUCCUUUCACUAAAACUAUGGAGAUCACUUGUUAUGUGAUAGGCCAGGAGCUGGCGCUGGGGAGAUGUUUGAAAUCUGGACCACAGAAGAACCAGUGGUUCCUCCGUUGGCUCCAGCAGGAGGCAGGAUCCUGGGUGCUUGCUGUCCCACGUGGGGCAGCAGAGCUGUGCGUGCGUGCGGGCACGACUGGCAGGUCCUUCAGGGAACACGCCUCUCUCGUGCACCUGACACUUCCUGCUGCGUUCCUUCCAGUGGGGUGUGGCGUGUGUGCCGAGGGGAGUACUGGCCUCUGACGUCUUCUGUCCCAGUUGAGGAAGUUUGAGCCACUGAUGGCAACUGUGUGUACUCACAGACAAUUAACUGUGUUUGUCUGCGUGACCCGACUCCCAGCCGGAUAGGCCCACUUCAGAUGUAUUUUUGUGUAUUGCUUUACCUUGGAUCAUUUAUAGGAACUCAGCUCUCCCAGAACCACUUCCUGUCUGGGAGAGGCAGAAAUGCUUCAAGGAAUGCUACCGUUUUGCGUUGUUCAGGCCUCUGCUCCCUGUCCUGCCGGCCCUCCCCGGCCCCCGCCCUGGUGCAGUCAGCUGCCUGCCCCCGCGGGGGCCUGAGCAAAGUCCCACGGAGCUGGAUUGCUUGUGUAGAGUCCGAAUUUCCCAGUCAAUGCACAAGGCUCAGUCACGGAUGCAAAAGCAGAGGCUUAUUUGUUACCAGCUGGCUGGGACCCCCUACCCGCACACAGCCCUUUAGCAGUGCACAGGCAAAAGGCCCCUUCAUUUGCAUAAGAGAGGUUUUCAGGCCGGCGCUGCGGCUCACUAGGCUAAUCCUCCGCCUUGCAGCGCCGGCACACCGGGUUCUAGUCCCGGUCGGGGCGCCGGAUUCUGUCCCGGUUGCCCCUCUUCCAGGCCAGCUCUCUGCUGUGGCCCGGAAGUGCAGUGGAGGAUGGCCCAAGUCCUUGGGCCCUGUACCCCAUGGGAGACCAGGAUAAGUACCUGGCUCCUGGCUUCGGAUCAGCGCGGUCCGCCGGCCUCAGCGUGCCGGCCGCGGUGGCCAUUGGAGGGUGAACCAACAGCAAAGGAAGACCUUUCUCUCUGUCUCUCUCUCA